UCCCACCAAUCCGCCAUCGCGAUUCUUCCGUCCAUUCUCGUCCAGAAAAAUCCGCUCUCUUCCCAACCAUCAUCGCUCCGGUGCUUCGUCCGGUGGAUCUCUUCGAGUGCCGGCGAAGAAGACGAGUCGUCGGCUGACUUUGUCUGAUCUCUUCCAGCGCUUGGCAACAGACGUAGUCGCUGAGAAGCAUAUGUUUCUACCUCUUGUUCUGCCAGGUUAUCUGUAUGAGCCAUAAUUGCCAAAUCCCUUCUUCCUGAUUUCCCUGCAAGUCAUCGACUUUCCUCCGGUUAUGGGCUGCGACGGUGCCGGGAGCUGCAGCGACGUCAAUCAACCAUUGGAUGCAUGAAUAAGUAGCUUUGAUGACAGAAUGGUAGCAGCUUGGGGUAACCUGGCCUCGUAGCUGAAGGGACAACAAGUUGCGAGUUAUGAUCUUGGUUGGCUGCGUCCAUAAUGGGGCACUGGUAAUCCGAAACUCAUGCAAGAGGUGCUCAGUGCUUGUUGUGGUCCAGUAGCAGCUUGGGUCGUGCCGAAAAGAUCACUGAUAUUUGGCAACACACUGUCAUUUUCGACGUCGGAUUCUGCUGUUCUGAAGCUGUCCGACACUGUGUCAUACGCCAAAUCCAUGGUCUCUACAAAUGACGACUUCUCCUCGAGCUGCAUCUUCUCCCAGGUAUUCUUCUUGUUGUACAACCGGCAAAGAACCCAAUCAUCUAACUGCAUCCACGCACUCUACUAGUUUUAGUAUACACAUUAACUAGAUUGCUAACUACAUAUAAUUUGGUGAUUUGCGUACCCUUAAACUUCCUUUGUUGUGGCCUCGUUUGGCAUCGGCCAACCUGUACUCGUGCAUGAUCCAGUCAGUCUUUACUCCUUGCGGUGCCUUCCCAGAGUAAAAGACCAAAGCUUUCUUGAUCCCAGCCGUCGCGCUGCUGCCCUUGGGCGAGAUCGGCUUGUCGGCCCCCGUCGCCUUCCAGUAGCCUGUCCCUGCAGACCUGUUCGGCCUCGAGCCGUUCGGGUACUUCCGUUCGCGAGGGGUGAAGAAGUACCAUUCCUUCUUGCCGAACAACGCCUUUGCUGCGCAAUCCCACGAAAUUAGACGGUAAAAGCAUGAAGUGUUUGCUCUAUCAUUUUAUGUUGCAUUGGCUUUUGUUUUUUUUUAUUAUACCUGGAAGUUCCCAGGGGUCGAACUUGUAGAGGUCGAUCUCUGCGAUGAUAGGAACCGGCUGGCACUGGCCGGCGGCCUUCCGGCAGAGAUAGUGCACGACGAGCUCCUCGUCGGUGGGGUGGAACCGGAACCCCGGCGGCAAGUUGAGCUCGGCCUCAGCGUCUCGCGUCCUCGACAUCUUUGCUCUCGGACAACUCCACCAAUGGAAGCCAAGAUUCUGGAGCCCAGACCCUGCGGUCCAGGAAACUUCGCGUGCCAUACUCAGUCAAAGGCGGCUGGGAUUACUUCACAAACCAUGGGCAACGUGAUGGAGGCCAGGCACCGCCCUCCAUCACUGUAAUUCAAUGCAGUCUGAGUUGCCCACCACUCUGUCGUUCGUCAGAUGCUCCGCAUGAGGCAUGUCGAGAUAGACAUAUUUAGAAUCGUAUAUCGGGACUUAUCUAACGAUGGGACGUGGAAGAUCAGGUCCAUUGAACGUGGAGAAAAAUCAGAAAAUGGUGGAUAAAUAAAUAAAUGCCGGCGGCGAAAAGUAGAUGGCUCGACUAGACGGAAUGUUGCCGUUCCGUUUCCUUUCCGAAACAGUCCGUUACAUUUUGAAAAGUCAUCGUUUCCUGUCCCGCCGGUGCAUUGCAUCCGGACACUGUCUUUGUCACUGGCUCGUUGAUUCUCG